rnacentral:rRNA from 1 species
UGUCAACUAGUUGUUCGUGUCACUAAGACGUGAGUAACGCAGCUAACGCACUAAGUUGACCGCCUGGGGAGUACGGCCGCAAGGUUAAAACUCAAAUGAAUUGACGGGGGCCCGCACAAGCGGUGGAGCAUGUGGUUUAAUUCGAUGCAACGCGAAGAACCUUACCAUCCCUUGACAUCCAGUGAACUUUCUAGAGAUAGAUUGGUGCCUUCGGGAACACUGAGACAGGUGCUGCAUGGCUGUCGUCAGCUCGUGUUGUGAGAUGUUGGGUUAAGUCCCGCAACGAGCGCAACCCUUAUCCUUAGUUGCCAGCGAUUCGGUCGGGAACUCUGGGGAGACUGCCGGUGAUAAACCGGAGGAAGGUGGGGACGACGUCAAGUCAUCAUGGCCCUUACGGGAUGGGCUACACACGUGCUACAAUGGCGCGUACAAAGGGCAGCGAACCUGCGAGGGUAAGCGAAUCUCAUAAAGCGCGUCGUAGUCCGGAUUGGAGUCUGCAACUCGACUCCAUGAAGUCGGAAUCGCUAGUAAUCGUGGAUCAGAAUGCCACGGUGAAUACGUUCCCGGGCCUUGUACACACCGCCCGUCACACCAUGGGUAGUGGGCUGCA